rnacentral:rRNA from 1 species
UACGGGGGGAGCAAGCGUUGUUCGGAUUUACUGGGCGUAAAGGGCGCGUAGGCGGCGCAACAAGUCACUUGUGAAAUCUCCGGGCUUAACCCGGAGCGGCCAAGUGAUACUGUCGUGCUAGAGUGCGGAAGGGGCUACUGGAAUUCUCGGUGUAGCGGUGAAAUGCGUAGAUAUCGAGAGGAACACCUGCGGCGAAGGCGGGUUGCUGGGCUGACACUGACGCUGAGGCGCGAAAGCCAGGGGAGCGAACAGG